GCCUCACUGCCUGCCUCCUUUUCUUCCCCCUGCUGCUUGCAGUUCCCCUUUUGUGAACUGAAGUUCACAAAACCCCCUUUGGAAAAAACAUAAAUCACAGGAGCAUCUGUAAUUUAUGCUUUUUCCCAGGCGCAUCCUCAGCUUUGGCCAAAUAAACCUCUAAUGGAUGGAGACUUGCUUCAGUCACUUUUUGGUUUACAUUUUGGUAACCACAAAGGGGCUUUCUGAGUGGAGUUGGCUCUUGGCCUGUAGCAACUCUCCUACUGGGGCCCUAGUACCAGCUGGAGCUCUUUAUUGCUCUGACCUAUUGGAUGAUUUGCUGAAGUCUGAGAGUUUCUCCCUCCAGAGAUCCCUAAUCACUCAAAAAUUUCCAGUUGAGAUCUGAAGUUUAUUCCACUGCAGAACUCCUUUUCUGAGAGUUCUUACUUCUAACAAGGAAGAAGACUUUCCUGCUUCCGUGAUGGCAGAGAGCAGUUUUCAGCUUGUGCCCCAUCUCCAGGGUGAAAGAUAUCUCCUUCAAAGCUUUUCAGGGGCCCAACUGGAAAAUCUUAAUGUUAAUUUAAGGUCAAAAGACAUAAUUUAGAAUUUGUUUUGGACAGGCACAUAGACCAAUGGAACAGACUAGAGAACUCAGAAAUAAAAUCACACCUCUACAACCAUCUGAUCUUCAACAAAGUUGACAAAAACAAGCAAUGGGGAAGUGAUUCUCUAUUUAACAAGUGGUGCUGUGAGAACUGGCUAGCCAUAUGCAAAAAUUGAAACUGGACCCCUUCCUUACACCGUAUACAAAAAUUAACUCAAGAUGGAUUAAAGACUUAAAUGUAAAACCCGAAAUUAUAAAAACCCUAGAAGAAAAUCUAGGCAAUACCAUUCAGGACACAGACGUGGGCAAAGAUUUUACGAUGAAAUUGCCAAAAACAAAAGCAAUGGCAACAAAAGCAAAAAUUGACAAAUGGGAUUUAAUUAAACUAAAGAGCUUCUGCACAGCGAAAGAAACUAUCAUCAGAGCAAACAGGCAGAAGAAGGUGGAAGGAGCUGACUUGCUGAGUCUUCCCACCUUCAUCUUUCUCUUGUGCUGAUGCUUCCUGCCCUCGAACAUUGAACUCCAAGUUCUUCAGCUUUUGGACUCUUGGAAACUUACACCAGUAAUUUGCCAGGGGCUGUUAGGCCUUCAGCCACAGACUGAAAGCCGCAUUGUUAGCUUCCCAACUUUUGAGGUUUGGGAACUCAGACUGAACCACCACUGGCUUCUUUGCUCCUCGGCUUGCAGGCAGCCUAUCAUGGGACUUCACCUUGUGAUCGUGUGAGUCAACUCUCCUUAAUAAACUAGAAUAUUUCUCAGAAGCCUGAACAACAUAACUUCUAAGACAAAGAUUUUUUGUGUGGACCAACUCACACUCUCCUUAAUAAACUCUCCUUAAUAAACUCCUUUCAUAUAUACAUAUAUCCUAUUAGUUCUGUCCCUUUGGAGACCCCUGACUAAUACACCACCUUCACUCAACUGGACUCUACAGGCAGAUACCCAAGAGACUGAUAUGCUUUAACAAUGCAG
rnacentral:lncRNA from 1 species